UGCCACAGGGAAAAUAAAAAAUAGCCUCCGAUGAAGCCCUUCCCAAUUCCCAUUUCGUGCGAUUUUUCUGCCAUUAUAUUCACCAUUCUGUUUUCUAUGGGCUGACCGAAGAAAAAUGCCUAACUGCGAAGGUGAGCUAGCGGAGCCGCCGCACUGGAAUACCUCGCUGCCGAUAAGCUUAUGUUUUUCGAUUUUUUUUUUGCCAACCGAGGCUUCUU
rnacentral:lncRNA from 1 species